rnacentral:rRNA from 1 species
UACGUAGGGGGCAAGCGUUGUCCGGAUUUAUUGGGCGUAAAGAGCGUGUAGGCGGCCAUACAGGUCAGCUGUGAAAACUCGAGGCUCAACCUCGAGACGUCGGUUGAAACCGUAUGGCUAGAGUCCGGAAGAGGAGAGUGGAAUUCCCGGUGUAGCGGUGAAAUGCGCAGAUAUCGGGAAGAACACCCGUGGCGAAGGCGGCUCUCUGGGGACGGUACUGACGCUGAGACGCGAAAGCGUGGGGAGCGAACAGGG